UUCCGAAAGGAUUCAUAGAGAAACCGGUGGGAAUCCGGUACGAUCCCGUCACUGUAUUAGGGAGUUUCAAGAUAUUAUGUCACUGGAUGGAGGAGUCUGGGAAGGCGUCUUGAGGCGAUGAUCUUAAGUCAGGAGAACUGCUUGUAAUGAU
rnacentral:ncRNA from 1 species